AUUGAACGCUGGCGGCAUGCCUUACACAUGCAAGUCGAACGGCAGCACGGGGGCAACCCUGGUGGCGAGUGGCGAACGGGUGAGUAAUACAUCGGAACGUGCCCAGUAGUGGGGGAUAGCCCGGCGAAAGCCGGAUUAAUACCGCAUAAGACCUACGGGUGAAAGCGGGGGAUCGCAAGACCUCGCGCUAGUGGAGCGGCCGAUGUCAGAUUAGGUUGUUGGUGGGGUAAAGGCCACCAAGCCGACGAUCUGUAGCUGGUCUGAGAGGACGACCAGCCACACUGGGACUGAGACACGGCCCAGACUCCUACGGGAGGCAGCAGUGGGGAAUUUUGGACAAUGGGCGCAAGCCUGAUCCAGCCAUGCCGCGUGCGGGAAGAAGGCCUCGG
rnacentral:rRNA from 1 species